AUGCACGUUAUGUGGAACGUUGCCCAAAACCUGAACCAUCUUUUGAUCCACUGGGAGAUGAACAGUCUACAUCUGCGAGGAGAAGAGUUCCAAAAACUGCUGAGGAGGUUCUUUCACUUGAGCAGAAAGUUGUCAAUACUGCAAUCCUUUCUGACCCAGAAAGAUUUUCUGAGAUCCCAUACAACAUGGAGGAUGCAUCAAAAACAAAUGAUUGUCCUCAUAACGCAGUUGUUGGUGCUAAGCGGAAACACGGAGCCUUUGAGGUAG
rnacentral:rRNA from 1 species